ensembl:snRNA U6 U6 spliceosomal RNA
GUGCUCUCUUCGGCAGCACAUAUACUAAAAUUGGAAUGAUACAGAGAUUAGCAUGGCCCCUGCGCAAGGAUGAUGCUCAAAUUCAUGAAGCGUUCCAUAUUUAA